ensembl:lncRNA
GUUCCAAAGUCCUAUUCUGCCCCAGGAGGCUGUACUUUGUUUCCUGUGCUGGCAACAAUGUUGGAAUGGUUACUUAUCGUGGAAAAAGAAGUAUGGAUUAGCAGCUGUCAUUAUAAGGGUCUCUCUAGAAAUUGAUAGGCCAUUGACAGAUUACAGAAGAAAAACUUUAAAUUGUAGGGAUAUCUUCUUGUAUUAUACCAUAGUUUCCUAUGUACCAAUACUACUGUAAGUUCUGAGACAUGAAUGUGAUUUCGAUUAUAUACAAGUUAGUUUAUACAUGUUGAUGGCUUAGUGCCAACAAUGUAUGGAUUUAAAUAAAGCUGAUUUUGCAUAACAGUGCAGAAGGAUUGAGCAAGUAAGUCAACCUGAAGUCUUGACACAUUUCUAAUUCGAAUGAACAAGAGAGAUAUG